rnacentral:rRNA from 1 species
UGGUAGCCGUACGAGCGCAACCCCUUACCCUUUAGUUGCCAUCAGGUUCGGCUGGGAACUCUAAGGGGACUGCCGUGAUAAACCGGAAGAAGGUGGGGACGAAGUCAAGUCAUCAUGGCCCUUACGAGUAGGGCUACCCACGUGCUACAAUGGGCAGUACAGAGGGUUGCUAAACCCCCAGGUGGAACUAAUCCCAGAAAGCUGCUCUUAGUCCGGAUUGGAGUCUGCAACUCGACUCCAUGAAGUUGGAAUCGCUAGUAAUCGCGAAUCAGAAUGUCGCGGUGAAUACGUUCCCGGGCCUUGUACACACCGCCCGUCACAGCAUGGGAGUGGGUUGUACCAGAAGCGGGUAGGCUAACCUUCGGGAGGCCGCUCACCACGGUAUGAUUCAUAACUGGGCUGAAGUCGUAACAAGGUAGCCGUAGGGGAACCUGCGGCUGGAUCA